GGCGGGCCUCCCCGCAUUGCAGUGUAGUAAACCUGGUCAGGUCCGGAAGGAAGCAGCCACAGCUAUGUCCUGCAAGUGCCGGGGGUAGGGCUCGCCACC
rnacentral:SRP_RNA from 1 species